UGGGAGGGGAGGCAGCUGCUUUGCGUCUCCGUGACAGCAGUUGUUGGUAUAAGAGAGUCCUUGGAGGCAAGUCUCCUAUCGGAUUGGUUUUUACAGCCCCUGAGCAUGCAACAUUGUAGACAUUCAGUGAGUACCCUUGACUGUGGAGUGGACAUGUCAGGACAUGCCUUGCCUUUCCAAUGCCAGCGUGCAGGAAGAAUUGAAGAACCUUCUGGAAAAUAACCCCAGCCUGAGGGAGCGAAGCUUUGUCUGCCCACCCAAGAGCUGUUUACUGUGAAAAAAAAAUCUCGAGGGUAUUGGAACACAAACAGCACAAUUUUAAGGUCCCUGUGAAAACACUGGGAUGAAAAGGCAGCUCUCUCCUGACUCUCCACAGGCUCCGGAGGACACGGGCGUCCCUGCAGUGCUUUAAGGACACAGCUCAGACUGCUCCGGGGGAGCAGCGAGAGAAAGCAACGUGGAUGAGACCCAAGGCCUGACAACUGAUUAGCGCACACUUGGGGUCCCUCUAGAGACCCCCAGAAGCAAUUUGUGGAGAGAAAGGAAUUACAGUGCCUAGGGUUCCUUUGAGAUCAGGUAGAUAUGGUACAAAGAGCAGGUAGAUCACAUGACUUGGGAUGGGGAGAUAAGAGGAAGGGGAGAAGCACACAAAGGGAUCUCACAGCCCGUUCAGCCUUCGGUUUGGGUUAUUAUGAUUAAUUGGUUCUGCGGGUUUCUUCUGGUCCUGUAAGCACAGUUGCAGUCUUGGAGUCUUAUCUGUGUAGAGUUAAACUGUCUCCCAGGACCUUCCUCCCCUCUUCCAUCCAACUGUCUUUUGAUUCCAUCAUUUUCUUCUCAUGGGUUGCAUCUGUUUCAUCAUCUCUCCAAGGCUGUUCUACUUAAGUCUGUUGAGCCAAGGGGACGCCUGUCACUCGCCCCAGGACCUUCUGUUUAUCAUUGUAAAGACUGGGAUCAGAUGGGAACAAGGGGAAAGAAAACAUGAUCUAUGCCCCUGGAGUUUGGCAACCGGUUGAAGUGGUAGAAAAGGAGAUGAGAGGAACAGGCAAGACAGACCAGCCUGCCUAACCACUCUUCAUUCCUCACGCCGGGUGAUUAUUAAGCAUGGUCCUGCAUUGACAAAAUUUGCUAGCUUUCAGAGUAGGCGAAUCGUGCUUAGUCUUCUUGGCAUUUUUAAAUGCAAAUGAAAAAUCACCCGACUCUCCGAGCCAGAAGCAAAAAAGAUAAAUAACACCAGGAAGCUAGUCGUUGCCCGUCUGUCAUGAAAUUUCAUUAGUUUUGACAUCCCUCACAACAUAAGCAAUGGAUAAAUGCUAACUCUGCUUCCAUGCCUGUUCGUUCCCGUAAGUCACCAGCACAGCACAGG